AUUGAACGCUGGCGGCAUGCCUUGCACAUGCAAGUCGAACGGUAACGCGGGGCAACCUGGCGACGAGUGGCGAACGGGUGAGUAAAGCAUCGGAACGUGCCCAAUAGUGGGGGAUAGCCCGGCGAAAGCCGGAUUAAUACCGCAUACGACCUGAGGGUGAAAGCGGGGGAUCGCAAGACCUCGCGCUGAUGGAGCGGCCGAUGUCAGAUUAGGUAGUUGGUGGGGUAAAGGCCUACCAAGCCGACGAUCUGUAGCUGGUCUGAGAGGACGACCAGCCACACUGGGACUGAGACACGGCCCAGACUCCUACGGGAGGCAGCAGUGGGGAAUUUUGGACAAUGGGGGAAACCCUGAUCCAGCCAUGCCGCGUGCGGGAAGAAGGCCUUCGGGUUGUAAACCGCUUUUGUCGGGGAAGAAAUCCCUCAGGCUAAUACCUUGAGGGGAUGACGGUACCCGAAGAAUAAGCACCGGCUAACUACGUGCCAGCAGCCGCAGUAAAAC
rnacentral:rRNA from 1 species